rnacentral:lncRNA from 1 species
CUCAUCUGUUCAAUAUCAGUCCUACAAUUACCAAUUUGAAAACUUUUCUCCCACUAAAGGCAGGUUCUUUCCUGCUGGGGAGGAGACAUCCAGUUUAACCCUGAGCAGCUGCCAGCAAACUUCACCAGACCUUCGGGAAGAGCUCCUUGGGACCAGCAGCAGGACAGGAGUACCGCCAGCAGGGAAGGACAAGGUGAUGAUGCAGGAGACUGGAUUCAAGACAGUAUGA